rnacentral:tRNA from 1 species
GCGAGAGUGGAGGAAUUGGUAGACUCGCAUGACUUAGGAUCAUGUGCCAUGUGGCUUGGGGGUUCGAGUCCCCUCUCUCGCACCA